rnacentral:lncRNA from 1 species
GGUUCAAUCCCUGGGUCAGGAAGAUCCCCUGGAGGAGGGCAUGGCAACACUUCUUCUCUUGCUUAGAAUAAAAUCCAGUUCCCAUGACAACCUGGUGGCCCUGAGGAGACCCAGCUACUCCUGCUGCAGAGACCACUUGAGGUUUGUAUGUGACUCCGAAGAUGUCUUUUACAAAAGACUGAGAAGCACUCAUCUACUAGGGAAAAAAAUCAAGGAUCGAAAUACAUGUGGUAAAUUCUUGGAAAGCACAGAAGAGGGCACUUGGCUAAGGAUGAUUGCCUUCCUUGAGAAGUUUCAGUUUAUUUUCUCCUCCUGGAAUAAACUCCAAUAAAGCCUUCAAGUCUCCCCUUCCUUUCCAGCUCAGAGUUCCCAAGGAAAGAAAGAGCCUGCCAGGCCAGUGAAAAAAUAAGGACGGGAUAGAUUCUUCUCUCCUGUCCUGCUCCUGGUU